CCUACGGGCGGCAGCAGUGAGGAAUAUUGGUCAAUGGACGAGAGUCUGAACCAGCCAAGUAGCGUGAAGGAUGACUGCCCUAUGGGUUGUAAACUUCUUUUAUAAAGGAAUAAAACGAGGCACGUGUGCCUUUUUGCAUGUACUUUAUGAAUAAGGAUCGGCUAACUCCGUGCCAGCAGCCGCGGUAAUACGGAGGAUCCGAGCGUUAUCCGGAUUUAUUGGGUUUAAAGGGAGCGUAGAUGGGUUUUUAAGUCAGUUGUGAAAGUUUGCGGCUCAACCGUAAAAUUGCAAUUGAUACUGGAAGUCUUGAGUACAGUUGAGGUAGGCGGAAUUCGUGGUGUAGCGGUGAAAUGCUUAGAUAUCACGAAGAACCCCGAUUGCGAAGGCAGCUUACUAAACUGUGACUGACAUUGAUGCUCGAGAGUGUGGGUAUCAAACAGGAUUAGAUACCCUUGUAGUC
rnacentral:rRNA from 1 species